AUACAAUAAAUAGGUACAAAACAGUGUCUCUCCUUACUGAAUUUAUAAUCUAUUGAUGAAAGUAUACAAUAAAUACCUAAAAAAUUGAAGGUGGCAACAUUUGAGCAGAGAUCUGACUGAAGAGUUGAAGCCAAGCACAGAAGUAGUAUGUAAGUAGGCAGAGGAAGCACUGCAUAUAUAGGCCCCAGGAAAGACUAUAUUUAGCAUUUCAAGAAAGUGCAAGUGCUUAGGAUGCUUAUAUCAAGUGGACAGAAAUGUUAGAGAAUUGGCCUAGAGCCCAGGCCAUACAUAAUACGCUCCAAAGGCUACGCUAAGGACUUUGACUCAAAUAAACUACUAGAAUGUGCCAUGGAAUUAAUUGCAUCACCCCAAAAUUGGUAUAUUGAAGCUCUAACACCCAAAUUUGGAGAUAGGGCUUUUAGGUUGUAAUUAGGUCAAGUAGUAUGAUAUGGGUGGACUCCUAAUCUGAUAGGAUUGGCGACCUUAUAAGAAGUUUCUGUCUCUCUCUCUGUCUCUGUCUCUAUCUCUGACAUGUGAGGACAUGUGAGAAGGCCAUCAGCGAGUCAGGAAGAAAGCUCUCACCAGGAACCAGACUGACUGGCAUCUUGAUCUUGGACUUCCAGCCUUCUAAUGUGACCUGUCCUUUGGACUAUUUCCCAGAUGGUUGUCUAUGCUAAAGUCACCUGUACAUCAUUUGCUUUUAUCCUCUUUGACAACACAUUGCCGUCAUCGAAUCCUUAGAGGUUGGGAAUUCAAUUCCUGGUGUGAUUCAGUCACUAAUAAGGAUUUUCUUUCUCGAAUCAUAUACACUGACAUUUAUAAACAACUCCUGGUUGGAGCUAUCACCAGAAGGACUGUGAUAUGGCACUGGCAAAAUCGAAGUUGGCAUCAUUUACAAAAAGCUCCAUAAUU